AAGUAAAGAAACAUAAGAAACAUAAUGAAAGCAAACGAAACAGAGAAGAAACAGGGGAGAAAGAAAGAAAGAAAAAGAAAAAGGAAAAUUUGGGUUUCAAGGCUCAAAGUUUAAUUUGUCAAUGUGGUACCAGAAAUCUCGGCUAAGAAAGGACAAGACAAAGUCAACGGGGGUUAGCUCGAAAAUUACGGUUUGUAUUUCUAUAAUCCGAACCUAAUACUUAAUUGUUGAAUUUAUUUCUUAAUAUGUAUAUUAAGUGUUUUGAAGUAAGAAUUAUUGUGUUUUGCAAAUGAAAUGGAUUGAUAUAGUAUGUGAUGAAUUUAUUGAAUUUAUAUUGAUUGAAUUGGCGUAUAUAUAUAUAGAUAUAUAUAUUGAAUAUUGAAUAUAUAUUGAUUAUUUGAAUUGAA